rnacentral:rRNA from 1 species
GACGAACGCUGGCGGCGUGCUUAACACAUGCAAGUCGAACGGAAAGGCCCUGCUUUUGUGGGGUGCUCGAGUGGCGAACGGGUGAGUAACACGUGAGUAACCUGCCCUUGACUUUGGGAUAACUUCAGGAAACUGGGGCUAAUACCGGAUAGGAGCUCCUGCUGCAUGGUGGGGGUUGGAAAGUUUCGGCGGUUGGGGAUGGACUCGCGGCUUAUCAGCUUGUUGGUGGGGUAGUGGCUUACCAAGGCUUUGACGGGUAGCCGGCCUGAGAGGGUGACCGGCCACAUUGGGACUGAGAUACGGCCCAGACUCCUACGGGAGGCAGCAGUGGGGAAUAUUGCCCCAUGGGCGGAAGCCUGAUGCAGCAACGCCGCGUGCGGGAUGACGGCCUUCGGGUUGUAAACCGCUUUCGCCUGUGACGAAGCGUGAGUGACGGUAAUGGGUAAAGAAGCACCGGCUAACUACGUG